rnacentral:rRNA from 1 species
UACGUAGGGACCGAGCGUUGUCCGGAAUCAUUGGGCGUAAAGAGCGUGUAGGCGGCUUGCUAAGUCUUGCGUGAAAUCUCGGGGCUCAACCCCGAGCGGUCGUGGGAAACUGGCAGGCUAGAGUGCGGGAGAGGAGAAUGGAAUUCCUGGUGUAGCGGUGAAAUGCGCAGAUAUCAGGAGGAACACCGAUGGCGAAGGCAGGUCUCUGGGCCGAUACUGACGCUGAGGAGCGAAAGCGUGGGGAGCGAACAGG